CAAUAGCGUAUAUUAAAGUUGUUGCGGUAAAAAAGCUCGUAGUUGGAUUUCUACCGAAGAUAGUCGGUCGGGUCUUCGACCUUGUAUCUGGUUUUGUCUUUGGUAUCCUCAUAGGGAACGUUUCUGCGCUUUAUUGCGUGGUGCGGUAUCUAUGACUUUUACUUUGAGGAAAUUAGAGUGUUCACGGCAGGCAAACGCCUUGAAUAUAUUAGCAUGGAAUAAUAACAUAGGAUCUUCGUCCUAUUUUGUUGGUUUCUAGGGCUAAGAUAAUGAUUAAUAGGGAUAAUUGGGGGCAUCUGUAUCAACGCGUCAGAGGUGGAAUUCUUGGAUUGCGUUGCGACAAACUACUGCGAAAGCAUUUGCCAAGGAUGUUUUCAUUGA
rnacentral:rRNA from 1 species